rnacentral:rRNA from 1 species
GAUGAACGCUGGCGGCGUGCCUAACACAUGCAAGUGGAACGAAGCACCUUACCUGAUUCUUCGGAUGAAAGUUUGGUGACUGAGUGGCGGACGGGUGAGUAACGCGUGGGUAACCUGCCCUGUACAGGGGGAUAACAGCUGGAAACGGCUGCUAAUACCGCAUAAGCGCACGAGGAGACAUCUCCUUGUGUGAAAAACUCCGGUGGUACAGGAUGGGCCCGCGUCUGAUUAGCUGGUUGGCAGGGUAACGGCCUACCAAGGCAACGAUCAGUAGCCGGUCUGAGAGGAUGAACGGCCACAUUGGAACUGAGACACGGUCCAAACUCCUACGGGAGGCAGCAGUGGGGAAUAUUGCACAAUGGGGGAAACCCUGAUGCAGCAACGCCGCGUGAGUGAAGAAGUAUUUCGGUAUGUAAAGCUCUAUCAGCAGGGAAGAUAAUGACGGUACCUGACUAAGAAGCUCCGGCUAAAUACGUG